CCCUUAGAUGUCCGGGGCCGCACGCGCGCUACACUGAAGGAAUCAGCGUGGCUUUCUCCCUGACCCGAAAGGGUUGGGUAACCCGUUGAAUCUCCUUCGUGAUAGGGAUUGGGGCUUGAAAUUGUUCCCCAUGAACGAGGAAUUCCCAGUAAGCGCGAGUCAUAAGCUCGCGUUGAUUACGUCCCUGCCCUUUGUACACACCGCCCGUCGCUACUACCGAUUGAACGGUUUAGUGAGGGCCUCGGAUUGGUCUCGGCCCGCUCUUUACCGGGCGGCGCCGUUGGUCGAGAAGACGCUCGAACUUGAUCGUUUAGAGGAAGUAAAAGUCGUAACA
rnacentral:rRNA from 1 species